AAAGAUUUACAAGGGAUUUUAAA
rnacentral:siRNA from 1 species